GAAACUUUGUGCCCAUCCCACCCCUCCUGCACUAGCCCUAGACAUCCAGGAAUCUACUUGGUGAUCCUAUGAAUUUGCCUAUUUUGAACAUUUUUAUGUAAGAAAGAAGGAAUGAAAUAGAGGAAAGAAGAGGAUGAAACAGGAAUUUACCAAAUACACAGUUGGUAACAAGAGAAGCCCCUUAGCCACUUUGCAAUAAUGUUUCUGUCUAAUGUUGGAGCCUGUGUACGUGUGGAGACCAUAAUGUGGAGGGUGGAAAAUGCCAGACUAAAGAGCUUUGAUUUACUCCUUUAACAUGGAAAUACCCUGAAUGUGUUUGAGCAGGGAAACAACAGUAAUCAGAACAGAACAUAGCAACGUCAGAUGUUUAGAAGCGGGGAGACUAUCGUAGCAGAAAACAAUAGAGAUCAUAAUUGUCACCAUGACUUUUCAAAGUCUACCUCGUAGCAUACCAGCAAAGAAUACAUCUAUAACCCAAAUUGGAACACAUGUGAAGGUAGAGAAACAGGGGCAAAGGGAAGGUGAAACAGUUGCUGCGGGAUCCAACUCAGACUCUCUGACAAAAAUGAGAUCCUACAGAGCUCAGAUGCAGCCCCCCAGCUCUGACAGUCCACCAGCUCAAACUCUGUGGGGGCUUAGACAUGUCUUGGUGCCUGCUGGGCCAAGUAGCAAGCUCACAGACAUCUACAUCACCCUGACCUUCAGCCUUCUCCUGUAGCCUGUCUGAAUCUAAUCUGUGAUGAUGAUCCACAGUUCCUGAUCCUGGCUUAUGCCCCAUUUCUUCUCUGGAAUGAUAAGACUUCUGCAAGUGCCCCAUGGAUUCGACUGAGUUCGUCCUGCUCCAACCAGUCAGACCCUCUGCUCACUAUGGGUUAUAACCGAGAGGCUGCAGACUUCCCCCGAAUUCAGAGUGCGUGGUGAUAGGCAUGACGGCUCUUUUCCACAGAGCAGUCUGGCAUGUGUUACCUUCCACUGAGGGCUUUCCUUACACUGAUCUCAUUUAUUCCCUUCACAGUUCAGCCUGCUGCCUUUGUCCCAGCUAGCUUGUCCCCCUGCAUACGCUGAUACGGCUGUGUACAGCAGAUGGUCCUUAGAUUAGCUGGUCUUGUGAGUGAUUAUCAAUUUAAUUGCUGGUGUAGGGGAGGACACAGACCAGUUUAAUGCAAGUAGUUGGAUCUCAGGCUGAGAGUCCAGGAUUUACCACCACAGAGCAACCAAUGAAACAGAUUUCUGAGGAAGAGAAGGACGAGACAAAAAAUGGAAUUCAAGAUGAUACACUUCAGCCGAAUGGGAAAGACUGGCAGGAGAAAUGCAGAAUGGAAACGAAUCUUUAAUAAUCCACUACAGCCUGGAAUAAAGUGGUGGUUCUGUAAGGAAAGCAAGAAAAAAUAAGACAUAUCUUGCAGGAAGAAUCUCUACACAUUGAUGUAGAGUUAAAGAUCACCCAGUCUUGGGGCUGGGGAUAUAGCUCACUGGUUGAGUGCUUGCUUUGCAUGCACAAGGUCCUUGGUUCAAAUCCCCAGCACAAUUUA